rnacentral:misc_RNA from 1 species
AGUGUACCGCAUGAGACGGUAGACGAGACGCCGCAGAGGCACACACGCACGCACGCACGCACACAGCGUGCAUACACACACACAUAUACACACAAGAGCGGAAAGGGUAGAUGCAGAAAACGCUCUUCGAUUUUGUGCGGAAGGGCACGAGCAGCGGCCCGGCUGCCGCCAACGUGUCUGUCGCCGCGGACAGAGAGCGGCAGCGGCAGCGGCAGUGGCUCUCGGUAUCGAACGGGGAGGACACCACGCCUCGGACGGACUCACCGCCUAAGAAACACGCCAAGACUCGGCGCGAGGGCGGUUGCAGCCGUGGUAACUCGAGGGAGCGCGAAGGGGAGAGUCUGAAGGGCGCCUCUAGAGAUGACGCGAUUGACCUCGAUGCGAGUGUGUCGGUCGCACUGCUGGAGUCGACAUUCCCACCUAGCGAAGACUGCGGUGCCAUUGACAAGGCGAAGCACGUCUCCAGCGGCACUGCUGUGCCUGCCGGUGCUUCUGCUGCUGCGGCUGCCGGUGCCUCCUCCGGCACGGCACGCUCCGAGGCGCCGCAGCUGCAGCCCGCUGCCACCAGCAGCCGCUGGCUUGCCGGCCUAAUCACGAACCUCGAGUGGAGAGACUUCCUGGCUCCCAUUACGGCUGAUUCGUGGCGAAGUGGCGCCUUUGCCCGCAUCGAGCGCUUUCUCGAUGGCGAAAAGGAAAAGGGCAGGGUCAUACUGCCCCCCGCCACGGACAUCUUCAACGCGUUCAACAGUUGCCCGUUUCGCGGCUUGAAGGUGGUCCUGCUCGGUCAGGAUCCGUACCACGAUCUCCACCAAGCGCAUGGGCUCUGCUUCUCCGUCUUGCCCGAAGUGGCGCUUCCGCCGAGCCUGCGUAACAUAUACAAAGAGCUCACGACGGACAUCGCAGGCUUCCAGGCACCAAGGCACGGCUACCUGCAGAGCUGGUCGGAGCAGGGGAUGUUGAUGCUGAACGCGACUUUGACCGUCGAGGCGCACAAGGCCAACUCGCACAGCAAAACCAGUGGCUGGACCGCCUUCACGGAUGCCGUGAUCCAGCACCUUUCCCAGCACCAUCCCAACCGGCUCGUGUUUCUGCUCUGGGGCGGCUACGCGCAGCAGAAGAAGAAGCUCAUAGACGCAAGCCGGCACAUUGUCCUGGAGAGCGUGCACCCAUCACCGUUGAGCGCGAGCCGCGGCUGGUUUGGGUGCCACUGCUUCUCUGCGUGCAACGCGGCGCUGCAGAGCAUGGGCCACCUUCCCAUGCAUUGGCAGCUGCCAUUGAACGCUUCGCUACCCUGACAGCGAAUGGGCAAGAGAGACGGAAGGGAGAGCGGCCGCGACACAGAACACGGUAUAACAUGCGUCAGGUGAGAGCGAUGUAAGGACGCGUGCUUGCUGCGUCUGUAUGUGUAUGCCUCUGUGCUUGUCUACCUUUGCGUUCCAGUCGUAAUGCGUGUCUACGCGAAACACUCGCCCACAGGACUGUGCGGCACCCGUGCUCUCUGCCUUCUCGCCCCCCCUCCCCCUCCCCGAAGAAAAAAAUGGUUUCGCUACCCAAUCAUGCUUGGCUGCGUUUCCGCCCAGCGAAGAGUUUCACGACAGCUUGUGCACACUUCUUGGUGCGGGUAGGGGGGAUGGCAGUGGUAUAGAUGGCAGCUGUUGUACCGAUCCUUUCACGUGAACGUGAUCGUCUUGCACAUCGGACUUACCAACACACACACACACACAUAUGCAAAGACCACCCCUUCCCCUCAAAGGGCGGGCUGACUUGUCUUGACGUCACGAAUGUCUGUGACGCGUUCUAUCCCUUUCCCUUUCUAAUUUUUUUGCCUUGGCUGUUGGGUGGGAAGGCGAGGGGUUGCGGUGGUUGUAGUGGGCAGACCGGGACAUCGGCGCACUGCAUCUGAUAGGUGCUCACUUCCCCUUUCUCUCAUUCUCUACCGCACCUGCUCGUCCCUUUUUUUUGUUUCUCUCGUUACUCUCGUUACUCUCGUCUCUCCCUCUUGCUAUCUGCCCCUGCCUCUCCAUUCUCACUCACGCGCAUGCGUGCCUUGACAG